rnacentral:rRNA from 1 species
AAUGAACGUUGGCGGCGUGGAUUAGGCAUGCAAGUCGAACGGGCCGCAAGGCCAGUGGCGGAAGGGUGAGUAAGGCGACGGUAACCAACCCCGGAAAUGGGUAUAGCCGCGGGAAACUGCGGGUAAUCCCCAGCGACGUGUCGAGUCGGCAUCGGCUUGACACCAAGGCUCCGGCGUUCCGGGACGGGCCGUCGUGGUGUUAGCUAGUUGGCGGGGUAACGGCCCACCAAGGCUGCGAUGCCUACCGGGCGUGCGAGCGUGGCCCGGCACACUGGGACUGAGACACUGCCCAGACUCCGACGGGAGGCUGCAGUCGAGAAUCUUCGGCAAUGGGCGCAAGCCUGACCGAGCGACGCCGCGUGGAGGACGAAGGCCUUCGGGUUGUAAACUCCUGUCGAGGGGGAGGAAGGCGCAAGCUUGACCGAUCCCUGGAGGAAGCACGAGCUAAGUUCGUGCCAGCCGCCGCAGUAAUAC